rnacentral:rRNA from 1 species
GACGAGCGCUGGCGGCGUGCUUAACACAUGCAAGUCGAACGGAAAGGCCCUGCUUUUGUGGGGUGCUCGAGUGGCGAACGGGUGAGUAACACGUGAGUAACCUGCCCUUGACUUUGGGAUAACUUCAGGAAACUGGGGCUAAUACCGGAUAGGAGCUCCUGCUGCAUGGUGGGGGUUGGAAAGUUUCGGCGGUUGGGGAUGGACUCGCGGCUUAUCAGCUUGUUGGUGGGGUAGUGGCUUACCAAGGCUUUGACGGGUAGCCGGCCUGAGAGGGUGACCGGCCACAUUGGGACUGAGAUACGGCCCAGACUCCUACGGGAGGCAGCAGUGGGGAAUAUUGCACAAUGGGCGGAAGCCUGAUGCAGCAACGCCGCGUGCAGGAUGACGGCCUUCGGGUUGUAAACCGCUUUCGCCUGUGACGAAGCGUGAGUGACGGUAAUGGGUAAAGAAGCACCGGCUAACUACGUG